UACGAAGGGGGGCUAGCGUUGCUCGGAAUCACUGGGCGUAAAGCGCACGUAGGCGGAUUGUUAAGUCAGGGGUGAAAUCCUGGAGCUCAACUCCAGAACUGCCUUUGAUACUGAAGAUCUUGAGUUCGGGAGAGGUGAGUGGAACUGCGAGUGUAGAGGUGAAAUUCGUAGAUAUUCGCAAGAACACCAGUGGCGAAGGCGGCUCACUGGCCCGAUACUGACGCUGAGGCACGAAAGCGUGGGGAG
rnacentral:rRNA from 1 species